GACGAACGCUGGCGGCGUGCUUAACACAUGCAAGUCGAACGGAAAGGCCCUGCUUUUGUGGAGUGCUCGAGUGGCGAACGGGUGAGUAACACGUGAGUAACCUGCCCUUGACUUUGGGAUAACUUCAGGAAACUGGGGCUAAUACCGGAUAGGAGCUCCUGCUGCAUGGUGGGGGUUGGAAAGUUUCGGCGGUUGGGGAUGGACUCGCGGCUUAUCAGCUUGUUGGUGGGGUAGUGGCUUACCAAGGCUUUGACGGGUAGCCGGCCUGAGAGGGUGACCGGCCACAUUGGGACUGAGAUACGGCCCAGACUCCUACGGGAGGCAGCAGUGGGGAAUAUUGCACAAUGGGCGGAAGCCUGAUGCAGCAACGCCGCGUGCGGGAUGACGGCCUUCGGGUUGUAAACCGCUUUCGCCUGUGACGAAGCGUGAGUGACGGUAAUGGGUAAAGAAGCACCGGCUAACAACGUG
rnacentral:rRNA from 1 species